rnacentral:rRNA from 1 species
ACUCCUACGGGAGGCAGCAGUGGGGAAUCUUAGACAAUGGGCGCAAGCCUGAUCUAGCGAUGCCGCGUGAGUGACGAAGGUCUUAGGAUCGUAAAGCUCUUUCGCCUGUGAUGAUAAUGACAGUAGCAGGUAAAGAAGCGCCGGCUAACUACGUGCCAGCAGCCGCGGUAA